rnacentral:rRNA from 1 species
UGGGGAAUAUUGCACAAUGGGCGCAAGCCUGAUGCAGCCAUGCCGCGUGUAUGAAGAAGGCCUUCGGGUUGUAAAGUACUUUCAGCGGGGAGGAAGGUGUUGAGGUUUAUAACCUCAGCAAUUGACGUUACCCGCAGAAGAAGCACCGGCUAACUCCGUGCCAGCAGCCGCGGUAAUACGGAGGGUGCAAGCGUUAAUCGGAAUUACUGGGCGUAAAGCGCACGCAGGCGGUCUGUCAAGUCGGAUGUGAAAUCCCCGGGCUCAACCUGGGAACUGCAUUCGAAACUGGCAGGCUAGAGUCUUGUAGAGGGGGGUAGAAUUCCAGGUGUAGCGGUGAAAUGCGUAGAGAUCUGGAGGAAUACCGGUGGCGAAGGCGGCCCCCUGGACAAAGACUGACGCUCAGGUGCGAAAGCGUGGGGAGCAAACA